ACGGGAGGCAGCAGUGGGGAAUAUUGGGCAAUGGGCGAAAGCCUGACCCAGCGACGCCGCGUGAGGGAAGAAGGUCUUCGGAUUGUAAACCUUUGUUGUAAGGGAAGAAACAAAUGACGGUACCUUACGAGGAAGCCACGGCUAACUACGUGCCAGCAGCCGCGGUAAUACGUAGGUGGCAAGCGUUAUCCGGAUUUACUGGGCGUAAAGGGUUAGUAGGCGGGACGGCAAGUCAGAAGUGAAAAUUAUGGGCUCAACCCAUAACCUGCUUUUGAAACUGUCGUUCUUGAGUACGGGAGAGGUAAAUAGAAUUCCCAGUGUAGCGGUGAAAUGCGCAGAUAUUGGGAGGAAUACCAGUGGCGAAGGCGAUUUACUGGACCGAAACUGACGCUGAGGAACGAAAGCUUGGGGAGCAAACAGGAUUAGAUACCCUGGUA
rnacentral:rRNA from 2 species